UACGUAGGGUGCGAGCGUUGUCCGGAAUUAUUGGGCGUAAAGGGCUCGUAGGCGGUUUGUCGCGUCGGGAGUGAAAACCUUGGGCUUAACUCAGGGCUUGCUUUCGAUACGGGCAGACUAGAGGUAUGCAGGGGAGAACGGAAUUCCUGGUGUAGCGGUGAAAUGCGUUGAUAUCAUCAGGAACACCGGUGGCGAAAGCGGCUUACUGGGUCUCUUCUGACGCUGAGGAGCGAAAGCGUGGGGAGCGAACAGG
rnacentral:rRNA from 1 species